rnacentral:misc_RNA from 1 species
GAAAAUACUAUGGCUUUCUCACCAACUACUUUAACUGAACCAUUAACAUUUUCAUCCAGAAGUAAAUUUCUCUUAUCAGUAUUAUCAUUAACUGAAUUUCCAGAACUACACAAGUUCUCAUGACAGCCGGCAUUUCCAUCAAAAGAGUUCUCUAAAGAACCAUUUGUAGAUGUACAAUCCCCUGGUUUGGUCAGUGAUAGCAAGACUUCAAGCGCAGCCCUAAUUUUUGAGGAAUCAUGUGGACAACCCUCAGAAUAAGGCUUUGUUGCCCGACCAAGUUCAAAGCCAGAACCAUCUUGAGCAGGCUGGUCAGAGAGAGAACUGUUUAAUGUGGAUUUGGAAAACACUGAAGAUUUAUUUAGUCGAACUUUGCAUUUUGACGCAGGGCAUUGGUUGUCAUCACCAGUGAGAUGUUCACAUAUGCAUUGGUUACAGAACACAUGACCACAGAUUGAAACAACAGCAUCUUCCGGUGGAUCAUUGCAGAUGCCACAGAUUGCCAAAGAUGCUUCUAGGCAAUUCCAAAGGCACAUCUGUUUCUCCCUGGGGAGCUUCUUUGCCAUCUCAGUUGAGGAUUUUCCAAAAGAAAUUGAAUCUAAACCCCUAACAAGAAGAGGAUGAUCACAAGCUUGACGAAGACGCA